GGACUACCGGGGUAUCUAAUCCUGUUUGCUCCCCACGCUUUCGUACCUCAGCGUCAGUAUUGGACCAGAAGGCUGCCUUCGCCAUGAGCGUUCCUCCACAUCUCUACGCAUUUCACUGCUACACGUGGAAUUCCACCUCCCUCUUCCAUACUCUAGUCUAUCAGUCACGUAUGCCAUUCCUAGGUUGAGCCCAGGGAUUUCACAUCCGUCUUGAUAAACCGCCUACGCACCCUUUACGCCCAGUUAUUCCGAUUAACGCUCGCACCCUACGUAUUACCGCGGCUGCUGGCAC
rnacentral:rRNA from 1 species